rnacentral:ncRNA from 2 species
UGUUUCAGCUGGGGGCAGCCUUUACGGCUUGAGAAGUACCCUUUGAACCUGAUCUGGUUAAUACCAGCGGAGGGAAGUGGAAAUCGCCGAUU